UACAGAGGGUGCAAGCGUUAAUCGGAAUUACUGGGCGUAAAGCGUGCGUAGACGGUUAUGUAAGUCGGGUGUGAAAGCCCUGGGCUCAACCUAGGAAGUGCACUCGAAACUGCAGAGCUUGAGUCUCGGAGAGGAUCGCGGAAUUCUCGGUGUAGAGGUGAAAUGCGUAGAUAUCGUAAGGAAGACCAGUGGCGAAGGCGGGUCUCUGGACAGUUCCUGACGCUGAGGCACGAAGGCCAGGGGAGCAAACGGG
rnacentral:rRNA from 1 species